UGCAACAAAAUGAAGAGUCGUUGCGAAAUAUCGAUCUGACGAAAGUUAAGUAUCGUGGAUUAAAAAUUAUCGAACACACACGUGCAUACGUUACUCGUCUGCUUCGUAUCAAUUAUUCAGUUCAUACUUAGCCGAGGCACUCCCGACAUCAUAUUACAUACUUGGUGGGCUUGAGCAUCCAAAUACGUUACACCGCAGCUUUAAAUUUCAAUAAUGAACGAGAAACUUAAAGCACCAGCCAUGCCCGAGUACACGGGUUUGCGAGUAGGUGGUAAACGAUCAUAAAAAAUUAAAAAAAAAAAAAAUCAAAAUAAAUGAAAAACAUUGAAAAAAAAAAAAAAACGAAUACAAAUAAACAAAGUAACUACGAUAUGGCAGCUGAUGGUCAUCCGGAGGUAGGGCUGUACCCAACGCGUUCAAAGAAAAACGACCGUCGCGUAUCGCUCAAGGCGCAAGAAAAAAGAAAAACAAAAAAAAAAAAAAAGAAGCAAUAAAAAAAAAUACGUCUGGAGUCUCUCGCCUAGUACGGAGAUUGUCCAGGCUGAUGUCGAGUGUUACGUAUUAUACCCACUGUGCCCAUCCGUGAUGUAUGUGUCUACCGUGUUUAUUGUAUAGGAACUGUACCUACUUGACCUCUCAUACUGUAUAUAUAUGACAUCUAUCAAAGUUUCAAUGCAUCAAAAAGAUUGAACGAUUAUAAUUGAUAUGAAAUUCGCGUUGAACUUACGCACGAAUAUACUGUGAUUAUAAAAUCGGGUGUCGGAGAUUGCUCGAUACCGUCCUAACGAAGAAUAAUUAUGAAAGCACCAUAAAAAUGAGCAGCAACAACCGCGCGGGGCUGCUAAUGGACUUAUAAUUCGAUCUCAUAAAUAUGCAUCGAUCUCCGCAGUAUGUAUACCUAUACAAUUCAUUAUGUAGCUACCGUAUACCAUCGAUUUGUUUAGAGGCAUGUUACGUCGCUGAAGGCGCACGAGUCUUUUCUUUAGUUUUUAGUUUUUGUAUCGCUUACGAUGCGUCCCCAGCGGAUAUGAAAUCACGAGGAUCGAGAGAACGCCAUCUUUGAAUUUUAAAUUCAUCGGAAAUUCCGAAGACCUUUACAUGGGAUAUUCUUAAAACACUCCAAGGGGCUGACGAUUACCUUGAGAAAGAACCUCAUUUAUCUGUCAUUUCGUCACACUAAAUUGUUCUACUUAGAUUGCGAUCGCAGCGUCGCCUUCCAUUUCGGCACCUGAAUUCCGACGAUACAAUGUCAACAAAUGUCAAUGAACGAAGUCCAGAUCUUCAAUACUUUGCACAGGUGGUUACACCUUCCGAUCGUACGUAUGUACAAGUGUAGCGUUGGUGUUUAGCCUUUUCGCAAGACAUACAGGUAAUUCAUUAUACGGUACCAAAAAUUCUGAAUACCUCGUAAUACCCACAUUCGGGUAUCACCUUGAAUUUUUUUUCUUUCUCCGAUCAUUCCGUUAUUUUUUAAAAAAAUGGUAACUGUAAAUAAAUCUUUUGACAAGUAUUCUACACGUCGUUGCGUCGCCUAACUUUGCGCAGCAGAAUCUUUUCGAAUAUCGCAGGACUAAUCAGUACAUACGAGUACGGAACAUACGAAUGAGAAAAUUGAGGUGCUUUUUACGCGCUUCGAUGAACAUCAUAAUUGGCAUAAAACGGUCGCCCUUGUUGACGCGAUUGUGUAACAAAACAGCGUAGCGGAGUUCCCGACGCGUACCUUUCCAUUCGACACGGCAAAGUAAACAACAAGAAACGGCAUAAGGAAUUCCCCUCAUUUGAUGUUCGACUCCUUAUGACUCGUCGGAAUUUAAUCAUCAGAAUUAUAUUAAUAACAUAUAACUAUAAUUUUAAAUCUUCAGCGUGGCAAAAUUGAGGUUAUCGCAGUAUUGGGGAGAUGAGCAGAAGAAAAAAAAAAAAAAAAAACGAAAUAUUGAGGCAGAAAAAACUUGAGAAUAAAUAAAAUAGACAGACAAUUCGAUCGUGUUACCAACGUUUUUGUUCUCGUGGGAAAACCGAAGAUGUACGAAAAAUUUUUCCAACCAACAAUAAAAUCAACUAUAAUAUAACAGCGAAACGGUGAGUCCGUUAUGACGAAUAAACAUGUACCGGGUUUCUACCCUCCCCCAUUAAUAUACGUGGGUGUAAUUUGACGAGGUGUUCCUGAUGCUGACGAUGAAACCCACGUGCGUACGUCUCAUGCCUAGGUUGAAAUUUUGUUUGCAACUCGCCUGUACAUACAUGGGGUGAUCGAGUUCGAUUCGACCACCCUCCGGGCUUUCCCCCCCCCCCCCCCCUCUCCCUCCGCCACCGGAUUCUAUUAAAAUUGUUCGUCGAUUAAUUUUAUCCCGAUUCGAAUGAACGCGACAUUGUUUUUCCAACACCACCACCGAUCUAAUUAAUUUUGAAAAUCCGGUGGCUUUAGAAAUGAGAAAAUUGGAGAAAGAAAAAAAUCACACGUUCCUAUAUACGACCCUCCCCCCGUCCUCUACAAAUUAUCGCUUGAAUUAAAAAUUCUCUGGUUUCGAAAGUUGCCAGAGUUUUGAAAAUCAAUUACAUCACGCGGACUGUCGAACGAGUCGUUUAAAAAGAUCGAAAAGAAUUUUUCGUUUUCAUUUUAUCGAGUGUACACGAAGAUCCGUUAUCAGUUUCAGUUUCAUUGGAUGAAAUAAAGGGAGAAGAGAAGAGCGGAAAAUUUGUUAUAAUAAAUUUGGGACAAAUUCGAUUCGAUGGCCGCGAAUAGAAAUCGCUCAUUUGCGCCCACGUCAGUGCAGCGUUACAUUCGAUGCGGGAUAAACGGCCAUCGAACGAUAUAAAUCCUUGUGCACAGCCUGCACAGCACAUCAACUCGCUACGGUGUAUAUCAUCGCGGCGGACUGCCUUUUCGAUAAUUGCACGAUAGCUCGAGGCCGGGUGCCGGCCGGACCUCCACGUGGUCUGCUGUAGUAAGCGUGUGUUGCGCUCAUAGCAAAACUGUGUAGAAAACUUGUUUCUGAG